UACAGAGGUCCCAAGCGUUGUUCGGAUUCACUGGGCGUAAAGGGUGCGUAGGUGGCGAGGUAAGUCGGAUGUGAAAUCUCGGAGCUCAACUCCGAAACGGCAUUGGAAACUACCUUGCUAGAGGGUUGGAGGGGGACUGGAAUUCUCGGUGUAGCAGUGAAAUGCGUAGAUAUCGAGAGGAACACCAGUGGCGAAGGCGAGUCCCUGGACAACUCCUGACACUGAGGCACGAAAGCUAGGGGAGCAAACAGG
rnacentral:rRNA from 1 species